rnacentral:rRNA from 1 species
CGCGUAGGUGGCUGGGUAAGUCCAUGGUGAAAUCCCUCGGCUCAACCGAGGAACGGCCGUGGAUACUGCCUGGCUUGAGGUCGGGAGGGGAAAGUGGAACUCUCGGUGUAGCGGUGAAAUGCGUAGAUAUCGAGAGGAACGCCGGUGGCGAAAGCGACUUUCUGACCGUACCUGACACUGAGGCGCGAAGCUAGGGGAGCAAACA